GAUGAACGCUAGCGGCAGGCCUAACACAUGCAGGUCGAGGGGCAGCACAGAAACAGCAAUGUUUUGGUGGCGACCGGCGGACGGGUCCGUAACGCGUCUGCAACCUACCUUUACCCGGGGGAUAACGGAGAAAAAUUUCCACUAAUACCACGUAACACCGAACAAGCCAUCUUGGUUGGUUGAAAACUCCGGUGGUUAAAGUUGGGCAUGCGUUGUAUUAGGUAGUUGGUGAGGUAAUGGCUCACCAAGCCUACGAUACAUAGGGGUACUGAGAGGUUAGCCCCCCACACUGGUACUGAGACACGGACCAGACUCCUACGGCAGGCAGCAGUGAGGAAUAUUGGUCAAUGGGGGCAACCCUGAACCAGCCAUGCCGCGUGCAGGAAGACGGCUCUAUGAGUUGUAAACUGCUUUUAAACAGGGAUAAAGCACAGUAUGUAUACUGUGUUGAAGGUACUGUAAGAAUAAGGAUCGGCUAACUCCGUGCCAGCCGCCGCGGUAA
rnacentral:rRNA from 1 species